AACGAACGCUGGCGGCAGGCCUAACACAUGCAAGUCGAACGCUCUAGCAAUAGAGAGUGGCAGACGGGUGAGUAACGCGUGGGAAACUUCCUAGGGGUACGGAAUAGCUCAGGGAAACUUGGGGUAAUACCGUAUGAUGCCGUAAGGCCAAAGAUUUAUCGCCCUUAGAUGUGCCCGCGUCGGAUUAGCUAGUUGGUGAGGUAACGGCUCACCAAGGCGACGAUCCGUAGCUGGUUUGAGAGAAUGACCAGCCACACUGGGACUGAGACACGGCCCAGACUCCUACGGGAGGCAGCAGUGGGGAAUCUUGGACAAUGGGCGCAAGCCUGAUCCAGCCAUGCCGCGUGAGUGACGAAGGCCUUAGGGUUGUAAAGCUCUUUUGCCGGGGACGAUAAUGACGGUACCCGGAGAAUAAGUCCCGGCUAACUUCGUGCCAGCCGCCGCGGUAA
rnacentral:rRNA from 1 species